AGCUUCACAGUGUGAGAGCAUGCUUGGGUGUUUCUGAUGAGACUGACUAUACUCUCCUGCCAGAUGUCUCAACUCCACAAUCGUCUCAACGUUCCCAUUACCGUGUCCAGAAAGUCAGGACGUGAUCAUUUGCCUGUCUAAUCUAUAGUGCCACAGGCAGCCCAUCUACUGAGAGUUAUCAUAGGUCUGAUGAUCACUCUAAAUGACCACACAGGAACACAUUAUGAGGCCACUUACGAGGACCAGGAGCACCCUGAAGUGCAAACGCUGUAAUAUUCUCUCCACAUAUUAAAGGCUCAUGAGCCACACACCAGGAAUAAAUUCAGGCUCUUUUCCUGACCCUGAUGGAAACACAACUGAAGAGCCACGAUUCAUUUUGCUUUGAUUUCUUUAUUGCAGAGAUUUUUUUUCUCAGUUUUGCUCGUAUACAUGUCAAAACUCAGUUCAGCGACUGUACUGCAGUACUGUGAGCAGAUUAAUGCAUGUGAAUACAGGAGGUGAGUUUGCAGCCAGUGGGACCAUUAACAUGCUCACCACAGCUUCAUGUGUCUUGUUUAAUCAAGACGAGUUCAAUGACCUUGAUUGUCACACUGUAAAAUUUUUUUAACCAGAGGUUGUUUUUUCUUUUUUCUCAAUCUCAGCGAUCCCGUCCCAUUUGUUUGAG